rnacentral:rRNA from 1 species
ACUCCUACGGGAGGCAGCAGUGGGGAAUAUUGCACAAUGGGCGCAAGCCUGAUGCAGCCAUGCCGCGUGUGUGAAGAAGGCCCUUCGGGUUGUAAAGCACUUUCAGUUGUGAGGAAGGUGGUGUCGUUAAUAGCGGCAUCAUUUGACGUUACCUACAGAAGAAGCACCGGCUAACUCCGUGCCAGCAGCCGCGGUAAUACGGAGGGUGCGAGCGUUAAUCGGAAUUACUGGGCGUAAAGCGCAUGCAGGCGGCCUGUUAAGUCAGAUGUGAAAGCCCGGGGCUUAACCUCGGAAUUGCAUUUGAAACUGGCAGGCUAGAGUCUUGUAGAGGGGGGUAGAAUUUCAGGUGUAGCGGUGAAAUGCGUAGAGGAUCUGGAAGGAAUACCAGUGGCGAAGGCGGCCCCCUGGACAAAGACUGACGCUCAGAUGCGAAAGCGUGGGGAGCGAAACAGGAUUAGAUA